CCCGUUGUUUCGUCAACGGUAGCCUAUGGACAGAUGCACCAAUAGUAAUAUACUGUAUCAAAGCUGUCCAGACAAGGUAGCCCUUCCGAAAGGAGCAGUCAGAACCGUGAGGGAAAGACAAUGGCUGUUAGUAUCAUACAGUCAGGGAG
rfam:Bacteroides fluxus YIT 12057 genomic scaffold Scfld5, whole genome shotgun sequence.